GCAGGGAAUAUUGCACAAUGGGCGAAAGCCUGAUGCAGCAACGCCGCGUGGGGGAUGAAGGUCUUCGGAUUGUAAACCCCUUUUCUGGAGGAAGAGCAAGGACGGUACUCCAGGAAUAAGCAACGGCUAACUACGUGCCAGCAGCCGCGGUAAUACGUAGGUUGCGAGCGUUAUCCGGAUUUACUGGGCGUAAAGCGCACCGAGGUGGCUUCUUAAGUCGGAUGUAAAAUCUCCUGGCUCAACUGGGAGGCGCCAUUCGAAACUGAGGAGCUUGAGUCCAGCAGGGGAAAGUGGAAUUCCCGGUGUAGUGGUGGAAUGCGUAGAGAUCGGGAGGAACACCAGUGGCGAAAGCGGCUUUCUGGGCUGCGACUGACACUCUAGUGCGAAAGCGUGGGGAGCAAACAGGAUUAGAAACCCCUGUAGUCC
rnacentral:rRNA from 1 species